UGUGUGUGUGUCAGUGUGUCAGUGUGUGUGUCAGUGUGUCAGUGUGUGUGUCAGUGUGUCAGUGUGUCAUUGUGUCUGGGUGUGUGUGCGGUGGGGGUUUCACAAAAAUUAAAUCAUAUAAGAAAGCAGCAGACAGACACAAACACAGUGAUUAAACAGACUUAAACAGAACUAAACACAAAGAAUGGUGAGAGAGAGAGAGAGAGGGAUGGAAGAGGGGAGGAAACAUAGAGGGAAAAAGAGUCGCAGAGAAUUGGAGGUUAACUAACCCUAAUCAAUACAGUCUUGAUGAGCAGCCAGAGUCAGAGUUCGAGCUCGAUUGAAAAGUGAGGCUUGAGGAGGGAGGUGGAGCAGAGAGAAGGGGGACUCAGAGAGAGGGAACCAGGGUUAAGGAUAGGUGUAACCGGUGUGGAAUGGAGGGAGGUGGAGCAGAGAGAGGGUACCAGGGUUAAGGUUUGGGAUAGGUGUAACCAGUGUGGAAUGGAGGGAGGUGGAGCAGGGAGAAGGUACGAUUGUUAAGGAAAGGUGUAACCGGUGUGGAAUGGAGGGAGGUGGAGCAGGGAGAGGGAACCAGGGUUAAGGAAAGGUGUAACCGGUGUGGAAUGGAGGGAGGUGGAGCAGAGAGAGGGAACCAGGGUUAAGGAAAGGUGUAACCGGUGUGGAAUGGAGGGAGGUGGAGCAGAGAGAAGGUACCAGGGUUAAGGAUAGGUGUAACCUGUGUGGAAUGGAGGGAGGUGGAGCAGAGAGAGGGAACCAGGGUUAAGGAAAGGUGUAACCUGUGUGGAAUGGAGGGAGGUGGAGCAGAGAGAGGGUACCAGGGUUAAGGAUAGGUGUAACCGGUGUGGAAUGGAGGGAGGUGGAGCAGAGAGAGGGUACCAGGGUUAAGGUUUGGGAUAGAUGUAACCGGUGUGGAAUGGAGGGAGGUGGAGCAGAGAGAGUACCAGGGUUAAGGAUAGCUGUAACUGGUGUGGAAUGGAGGGAGGUGGAGCAGAGAGAGGGUACCAGGGUUAAGGUUUGGGAUAGGUGUAACCGGUGUGCAAUGGAGGGAGGUGGAGCGGAGAGAGGGUACCAGGGUUAAGGUUUGGGAUAGGUGUAACCGGUGUGGAAUGGAGGGAGGUGGAGCGGAGAGAGGGUACCAGGGUUAAGGUUUAGGAUAGGUGUAACCGGUGUGGAAUGGAGGGAGGUGGAGCAGAGAGAGGGUACCAGGGUUAAGGUUUGGGAUAGGUGUAACCGGUGUGGAAUGGAGGGAGGUGGAGCGGAGAGAGGGUACCAGGGUUAAGGUUUAGGAUAGGUGUAACCGGUGUGGAAUGGAGGGAGGUGGAGCAGAGAGAGGGUACCAGGGUUAAGGUUUGGGAUAGGUGUAACCGGUGUGAAAUGGAGGGAGGUGGAGCAGAGAGAGGGUACGAGGGUUUGGGAUAGGUGUAACAUGUGAAAUGGAGGGAGGUGGAGCAGAGAGAGGGUACCAGGGUUAAGGUUUGGGAUAGCUGUAACUGGUGUGGAAUGGAGGGAGGUGGAGCAGAGAGAGGGUACCAGGGUUAAGGAUAGGUGUAACCUGUGUGAAAUGGAGGGACGUGGUGCAGAGAGAGGGUACCAGGGUUAAGGAUAGGUGUAACCUGUGUGAAAUGGAGGGAGGUGGAUUAGAGAGAGGGUACCAGGGUUAAGGUUUGGGAUAGAUGUAACCGGUGUGGAAUUGAGGGAGGUGGAGCAGAGAGAGGGUACCAGGGUUAAGGUUUGGGAUAGGUGUAACCGGUGUGAAAUGGAGGGAGGUGGAGCAGAGAGAGGGCACCAGGGUUAAGGACAGGUGUAACCUUUGUGAAAUGGAUGGAGGUGGAGCAGAGAGAGGGUACCAGGGUUAAGGAUAGGUGUAACCUGUGUGAAGUGGAGGGAGGUGGAGCAGAGAGAAGGUUCCAGGGUUAAGGUUUGGGAUAGGUGGAGCAGAGAGAGGGUACCAGGGUUUGGGAUAGGUGUAACCUGUGUGAAAUGGAGGAAGGUGGAGCAGAGAGAGGGUACCAAGGUUAAGGAUAGGUGUAACCUGUGUGAAAUGGAGGGAGGUGGAGCAGAGAGAGGGUACCAGGGUUUGGGAUAGCUGUAACUGGUGUGGAAUGGAGGGAGGUGGAGCAGAGAGAAGGGGGAGUCAGAGAGAGGGUACCAGGGUUAAGGUUUGGGAUAGCUGAGCAGAGAGAAGGGGGAGUCAGAGAGAGGGUACCAGGGUUAAGGUUUGGGAUAGGUGUAACCGGUGUGGAAUGGAGGGAGGUGGAGCAGAGAGAGGGUACCAGGGUUAAGGAUAGCUGUAACCUGUGUGGAAUGGAGGGAGGUGGAGCAGAGAGAAGGGGGAGUCAGAGAGAGGGUACCAGGGUUAAGGUUUGGGAUAGGUGUAACCUGUGUGGAAUGGAGGGAGGUGGAGCAGAGAGAGGGUACCAGGGUUAAGGUUUAGGAUAGGUGUAACCGGUGUGGAAUGGAGGGAGGUGGAGCAGAGAGAGGGUACCAGGGUUAAGGUUUGGGAUAGGUGUAACCGGUGUGGAAUUGAGGGAGGUGGAGCAGAGAGAGGGUACCAGGGUUAAGGUUUGGGAUAGGUGUAACCGGUGUGAAAUGGAGGGAGGUGGAGCAGAGAGAGGGCACCAGGGUUAAGGACAGGUGUAACCUUUGUGAAAUGGAUGGAGGUGGAGCAGAGAGAGGGUACCAGGGUUAAGGAUAGGUGUAACCUGUGUGAAGUGGAGGGAGGUGGAGCAGAGAGAAGGUACCAGGGUUAAGGUUUGGGAUAGGUGUAACCUGUGUGAAAUGGAGGAAGGUGGAGCAGAGAGAGGGUACCAGGGUUAAGGUUUGGGAUAGGUGUAACCGGUGUGGAAUGGAGGGAGGUGGAGCAGAGAGAGGGUACCAUGGUUAAGGUUUGGGAUAGGUGUAACCGGUGUGGAAUGGAGGGAGCUGGAGCAGAGAGAGGGUACCAGGGUUAAGGUUUGGGAUAGCUGUAACCGGUGUGGAAUGGAGGGAGGUGGAGCAGAGAGAGGGUACCAGGGUUAAGGAUAGGUGUAACCUGUGUGAAAUGGAGGGAGGUGUAGCAGAGAGAGGGUACCAGGGUUAAGGAUAGGUGUAACCUGUGUGAAAUGGAGGGAGGUGGAGCAGAGAGAGGGUAC
ensembl:lncRNA